CAGAUGUGAUGAUCUCCUUUCUUAAAUCUUUACAUGUUUGAGAGGCUGAGGCAGGAGGAUCACUUGAGGCUAGAAGUGAGGCAGCCUGGGCGUUACAGGGAAACCCCAUCUCUACAAAAACUUAAAAAAUCAGCCAGGCAUGUGGCAUGCCUCUAGUUCCAGCUACUCAGGAGGCUGAGGUGGGAGGAUCCCUGAGCCCGGGAGUUUGAGGAUGCAAUGAGCUGAGAUUGCGCCACUGCACUCCAGCCUGGGUGGCAGAGCGAGACCCUGUCUCAAAAAAUAAAAAUAUUGAAAGGUUAUUACUGCAAAUGCAGUGCCUUGUACAUAGGGACCCACUGUGAGAUAAGCGUCAAUCCGUGUUCCUCCAAGCCAUGCCUCUAUGGGGGCACGUGUGUUGUCGACAACGGAGGCUUUGUUUGCCAGUGUAGAGGAUUAUAUACUGGUCAGAGGUGUCAGCUUAGUCCAUACUGCAAAGAUGAACCCUGUAAGAAUGGCGGAACAUGCUUUGACAG
rnacentral:lncRNA from 10 species